AUACUUUUUCAUCAACUUUUGCAUUUUAAUGUAAACAAUCAUAUUUCGUAAUAUUUUGGGUCAGAAACAUUUCAUAGUACUAUAUUAUGUCUAACUAUGUGAAAAGAAUCAAAUUGGAGUAGGUCGGGAAACUGAUUAUAUGAGUUUGUUAGAAAAACCACUUUCCUUUGCUCCUAGCGCCUUCUCGUUCGCUGUAUAGCGUUUUGAGCGGAUAAAGAGCACAAGUGUGUAUGGGUACACAGGAUGAAUGGGAACUAGUUUUGUUAUUGUACUUUUGAUGAAAAGUGACUUUCUAGACAUAAAAUGUCACUUUUUUCACCUUAUCAUACUUUUUCAUCAACUUUUGCAUUUUAAUGUAAACAAUCAUAUUUCGUAAUAUUUUGGGUCAGAAACAUUUCAUAGUACUAUAUUAUGUCUAAAUAUGUGAAAAGAAUCAAAUUGGAGUAGGUCGGGCAACUGUUAUAUGAGUUUGUUAGAAAAACCACUUUCCUUUGCUCCUAGCGCCUUCUCGUUCGCUUUAUAGCGUUUUGAGCAGAUAAAGAGCACAAGUGUGCAUGGAGACAGGAUGAAUGGGAACAAGUUUUGUUAUUGUACUUUUGAUGAAAAGUGACUUUCUAGACAUAAAAUGUCACUUUUUUCACCUUAUCAUACUUUUUCAUCAACUUUUGCAUUUUAAUGUAAACAAUCAUAUUUCGUAAUAUUUUGGGUCAGAAACAUUUCGAUAGUACUAUAUUAUAUCUAAAUAUGUGAAAAGACUCAAAUUGGAGUAGGUCGGGCAACUGAUUAUAUGAGUUUGUUAGAAAAACCACUUUCCUUUGCUCCUAGCGCCGUCUCGUUCGCUGUAUAUCGUUUUGAGCGGAUAAAGAGCACAAGUGUGUAUGGGUACACAGGAUGAAUGGGAACAAGUUUUGUUAUUGUACUUUUGAUGGAAAUUGACUUUCUAGACAUAAAAUGUCACUUUUUUC
ensembl:lncRNA